rnacentral:rRNA from 1 species
UACGUAGGGGGCAAGCGUUGUCCGGAUUUAUUGGGCGUAAAGAGCGUGUAGGCGGCCAGGUAGGUCGGUUGUGAAAACUGGAGGCUCAACCUCCAGACGUCGACCGAAACCAUCUGGCUAGAGUCCGGAAGAGGAGAGUGGAAUUCCUGGUGUAGCGGUGAAAUGCGCAGAUAUCAGGAAGAACACCCGUGGCGAAAGCGGCUCUCUGGGACGGUACUGACGCUGAGACGCGAAAGCGUGGGGAGCGAACAGGG